UUAAUAACCUUGGCGAUUGAUACCCGCAGAGGCCAGAAGCACCGGCUAACUCCGUGCCAGCAUUGCGCCCGGAUAGGAGCCAGAGCCGCUCCGGCCAAUACGGGAGCCAGCAGCCGCGGUAAUAUACUGAGGGGACACACGGAUUAACUGAGACGGCCGGGAGCCAGCAGCCGCGGUAAUA
rnacentral:rRNA from 1 species